CAGAAAUAUUUUCCAGAGAUUCCACCCUUAAAGAAAAAAUCUUAAAUCAUUUUACAGCAGGUCCAGUAAUAUUCUCAGCAGAGUGCAGUAAACAGUUCAAUCGACUUUACCACAACACCAAAGACUGUUCAACACCAGCUUAUUACAAAAGAUGUGCAAGGCUGCUAUUAAGGUUGGCUAAAACUCAGUUCUGUUCACAAUCCUAAGUUACUGGUGUCUGAUCUACUAAAACAGAACUCUGAUUUGCCAAGAAUGUGCCUUGAAAUCGGACGUCUAUACCAUGAUGAUCUGAGUUACUGUUUCCUUAUUGAUGCAUUUUUUUCUUUACAUUGAACAUUCCAUAGUCAUGUGAAUAAAACAUUUUUUUAACACAUUGCCCAGGGCCGAAAACAAUUCUAACUAUUUAUUUAAAUACAUUGUAUAUAAUAUUUACUAAUGACAUACUAAAUAUAUAUUAUAAUUAU